UGACGGAGCGGCGAACGGGUGAGUAACACGUGGGCAACCUGCCCCUAGCUCUGGGACAACUCCGGGAAACCGGGGCUAAUACCGGAUACGACGUCGAACGGCAUCACUCGACGUGGAAAGUUUAUCGGCUAGGGAUGGGCCCGCGGCCUAUCAGCUUGUUGGUGAGGUAAUGGCCCACCAAGGCGACGACGGGUAGCCGGCCUGAGAGGGCGACCGGCCACACUGGGACUGAGACACGGCCCAG
rnacentral:rRNA from 1 species